CUCCAUGUCCUGUUUACAGCGAGCCCUGGGCUGCCCCAGCGCUGCCCAGACGUCUGCAGGGGGAACAUUCCUGGAGCUUCUCAAAUGCUCAGGGACGCCUGGUAACGGGUCAGCCCCAGCCAACCUGGCUCCCCAGACCCUUGCUCUCCGUCCCUUAAAAUAGCCUGCUCUGGCUAUUUUGGGUUACGGAAAGCCACAGGGAGAGGCACUGUUCUCAGGGGGACCCAGAGGGGCCCAGAGCCACUGAUCCUAAGGGCAGGAGGCCCACAGGCCGCUGCAGCUGCCGAGGGUCCCCCUGCAAAGAGGAGCGUCUACAAAUUGCAAAUGAGCAGGCUGCACGCAGGAGCAGCGGGAGGGGACCUGCGGACGCCGUCCCAGGGCUCCCUCCUGUCCACCAUCUGGGCCGCUGGACUGCCUGGCCCAAGCUGGAAUUCCUGGGGGGCUUCGGCACCCCUGACCCAGCUCUCCUGAGGUUCUGGAGUGGAUAGUCUAGGUGCAACUUGGACGCUGGGAUCUUUCAACGUCCCCGGGGGCUUCCAAGGCGGGGCCAAGCCUGAGCUCGGCAGCGCGACUGGAUCUGAACAAACAGCAGCCGCAUUAACUGCCCUUGGUGAGAUCUGUGUGCAGGAUGCUUAUGAGCAGACGUCUCGCACCCAGCUCCCCCCAGGACCAGCAGGGCCUGAAACUGCAGAAGCAGCUGAGAAAGGCCGUAGGGAACGGUGGACACUGGGCCACGGUGGGUGGGAGCCAAUGCCCGUCCUGGAGCAGUGGCCAGGACCCGGUGUCUGGUGGUCAAGUCCAGGGAGCAGGUCCCACAGGUGGGACCUGCUAGAAGUCAAGAGAUUCGGGGAAUCUGACCUCUAGUGUGAAGUUUAGAAACAUCAGCAAGGAAUUCAGCCUGGAAGGAGGGAGCGGAGCAGCCCUGCCCACGGGUGACCGUUGCCCACAGGGGCUGGUUUGAGGCCUUUGCUUCACAUCCACGGUCAUUUUCCUGACUGUGGUACCCACAGGGUUAGAGACUCGGAGUGGAAAGGGGUUGGUCAAGUCGCUGUGGGGGCUGAACAGUGUCCCCAGGUGUCUGCCCCGACCUCCGUCCUGCGUUGGACGUGCUGCUCACCUGCUGCGGGGACCAGGCUGCAGGUGGAUCUCAGGUUGCUGACCACCUGCUUUCAAGCCGCAUUGUGGGGUGCGACAGGGUCCUUUAAAUGUGGACAAGGGAAGCUGGAGGGUCAACCCCAGUGUCAGAAAGACCAGCCUGGCCUUUGCUCGUCCUGGGGAAGGAGGAACACAGGGCUUCCAGCCUGGCACAGCCUGGUGCACAGUUCCACGACACCCUGGUUCCAGCUCAGCUCCGAGCGGUCAGAUGUGACUCUGGGUCACUUCAUCUCCUGGCGUGUGAUGUUGUCACAGCAACCAGAGGGAGCAGGCAUCGUCGUCCAGCUGAACGAGCGAAUGGAACCUGGGUGGCGCUCCGGAGUCUGUGUGGAAGAAGAAAGGAGAAAGAUGUUCCUGCUCCUUUUUAAAAGUGAACUUGGGACUGGGUUUAUUAGGCCUCACUACCCAUAUUGAAAAGAUAUGGAACAUUAUUUUAUUUCCUGUGGUUCUGGGACUCAAACCCAGGACCUCGUGCAUACCAGGCAAGCUCUGUACCACUGAGCUACACCCCCCACCCCUCCCCUGAUCCUUUGAAGAGCAUCUUUCAGAGAGCUCCUGCUGACCUCUCUGUGUCACAUGGCUGUACCUCACAUAAGGGAGAUGUCCUUACUUACCCUGGGUGGCCAGGGACCCCCUGAAAGCUGGGAGUCUCACAACUGGGGCAGAAGAGACUGGACGAGGGGACAGCCCACAUGCCUGCCAGUCUGCCAGGUCCGGUCUGCUUGGAAGGACCAGCCAGGGAUGGGCAGGAAGUCGGUGUGACUGUACCCUGACUGGCUGUGUGACCCCUGAGCAGGCACUUAGCCCUUCUGGGCCUCUUUUUGCUGGUCUUCAAAAUAACCAGCUUGAAAUCAAAUGUCUCCCGUGUCCCUUUCUGUGGGAUCUCGCUGUGGGGCUAAGAGCUGUGUCCUUGGCUGCCAGAGACAGUACCUCAGGCUGUAAAGGGCGGGAGGAGCCGCCUGCGUGGAAGGGCUUCCUGUCCUGGGGGCCUCGGGAACAUGUCCCCUCCUGAGCCAGGUCCUCCUCCCGACCAGACGUGGGGGCCGGCUUUUGGCCAACGAGCUGCAGAGAGCAGAGGGCGUCACUCACCACCGUAGCGAGCCAGGAACUAACUUUACGAAAAAAUAGGAAUCACUGGUUUCCUACGGCUGCCGUGGCGAAUGGCCGUAAACCCAGAGGCUUGAUCACCUGUUCGUUCUGCAGGUCAGGGUGUGACCGGGCCUUCCUGGCUAGGGCCCAGGUGUCCGCCCUUCUCGAGGCUAGGACACAGCAUGUCCCGCUGGGCUGCAGGGCCCAGAGCGUGGCUCCAGACCAGACCCCAGCCACUCUCCAGCCGGCCCCAGGGCCUGCUCUGCUGGCGACGGUCGGCGGGCUCUGAAGCCGCUCGCAGACAGCACGGUCUCCUGGAAUUCGCUUCCAAUCGCACGGGCUCUGAACUUGUUCCGAGCAGCCAGUGAACACAGAGGAGCCGGGCGUGGGCCGGACAGCGAGAAGCUCUGGAAACCGCUGGCAGGGCUCCCCUGCCCAGCCCAGGACCCUCUGCGGCCCAGCAAGGCCGCCUCCUGGCACUCACCUCGCCACGCCCCUCCCCUCAGCACUCUGAGUUCCUGGUGUCCCUUACAGUUGGCGCCCAAGGCAAGUGUCCCAGCCCCUGGAGAGUUGAGAGGACAGCUGGAAUUCUGCAGCCUAAGCACCAAUGACAAAGGGGAGUUGUCCACUGACUCCAGAGCCCAAGGACAGCACCGAGGAGCCCCAGCACAGCAGCCGACUCUGAGGACAGAUGGGGAGCAGGUUCUGGGCAGCUGGGUACAUGGGCUUUGGUGUCUCACUCCCAGGGUCAAAUUCUGGAUCUGUUUGAGCUCUGUGACCCUGGGCAAGUUUCUUAACUUCUCUGUGCCUAGUUUUCAUUUGUAGGAGGGGGAAACAAUGGAGUCCCUUGUGUUGUGAGGCUCACAUGACGUCAUUGCUGAAACCACCCAGUCUGGGGGGAGCCAGGAGCAAGGCACCUGGGCUCUGGCCACUGCCAUCGGGCGCCCUGUCGGGGGCUCGGCACGGUGGCACUGGCCUGGGCAGACCUCUGUGUGUGGGGACGCUGGCUUCUCCCAGGUCUGCCCUCUGCCUCCCUCUGCCUUUCUUCCCCUUGCCACAGUUGCCCGCACCCUGGACACCUGUUCACGGGCUGCCCAAUGUCCCUGUGGGAGGCAGGGCUUGUCCUUUACGGCAGAAGAACUGCACCCCAGAGAGUCAGGCCUGUGGCCACAGGAGCUGGGUCCUGCCAGCCACCCAGUGGCCACCCACAUGGCCCCAGUCACCUUGAGGCCGCAGGAGCUGGUCCCACUGCACAGACGAGGGUGGCGUGCUCAGCUCUUGCUAAGGACACGUCGGUGCUCUGUACUAUCUCCUUUUAAGAUUCCAAGGGUCACCGAGAGACUGAGGCACAGGGAGACGAAGCGAUCCGCCCGUCACGCCAGCUUGGGGCCGGGCCCCAGGGCCGCCAUCCUCGCCAGCUGGAGGUGGCGGGCAGGGUCUGCAGCCAGGUCACUGCAGCCCGUCACCGGGCCUGCUCUCAAAGGGAGCCUUGUGACCCCAGCCCCUCCCCGGCUCUGGCUGCCCCCGUCAUGGCGAGCUGCCUCGCCAGAGGCCGGAUGUGCUGGGGACAGUGACCACAGACUGAAACCUCUGGGGCCCGAGCCAAGGAGAGCUCUCCACGCUUCAGGUGGAGUGUCCGGGGUCUCCCGGGGCCGCGUGGGAAGGCGGACGCGGUGCCCUCCUCGGUGCCCCCGCUCUGCCAUCCGAUCACACGAUAUUUAGGAUUUAGAACUUUCCCCAAAUACCCUCUUCUCAUGGCCAGUUUCCCCGAGGGUCUGCCCGCACUUGGGUGGAUAGAGGAGGUGGAGGCUGGUGGCUCCGCGGGCGUCCCCGCAAGCCCACGAUGCCUCACACGGACCUCGUGUGCAGCCUGAGCGCCUCGCCACCCCCAGCUCAGGAAGGGCGCGGAGGGUCGUGCCGCUAGAAAUAGGGAGCAUGUCCCCUUUGGUGAGGAGUUCGGGUCCCCCUCAGGUACAGAACUGUGUCCAUCUCCGAGAAGGACGCCCCUACCUCCCACACCUAUGCCUGGAGCAUCGGGGGAGCCUGCAGGUUACAGGUCACCUGCGGGCUCUGCAAUUCCAGACGUGCCGGCUGAGACGCAGCUGAUCGAGGGAUGCAGGCCCGAGCGGGCUUCCAGCUGCUGCUUCCUGACUCGCCUUUCCAUUCACUCUGAAUCUCACUGCUGAACUUGAGUCACAGCUGGGCCUGCUGGGGCACCCUGUCAUCCCAGGGGCUCAGGA